UUUUUGUGCUUUUGUUGCAUUCACUAUGGAGGCGAAAACUUUGAUCGUUUUGUUGGCUGUACUUUUUAGUUCCGUAACAUCAGGCCAAGCAAUACCAAUCUUCCGCUCCCCAUGCCAAUGUCCCCAAAAACUCUCAUGUAUUUCUAAACUGACAACACCGUUUCCCGCCAUCUUAGAAACCAUAGACAACAUCCCGAAUCCUCAGUGCCGUUGUUGCAAAGACCAACUCAUUCUGCCUCCUUUGGCGGUAGAAUUACCAAGGAGUUUGGGUUACUUUCAAUCGGCUUUGCCUCUGGUUGCAAAAUAUUUUAGUCCAAGUGUGGAUAAUGUGAUAACUGGUGCCUAUCUCCCUGUGGCAGCCUGUGAUUUGGUUAUCGCUGCUCCUGUGUGCCCGGAAUACGCGCCAUUAGUCAAACCUAUUGUUUUGUAAAAUAAAUAAUCAUUUGACUGU